rnacentral:lncRNA from 1 species
AAAUCUGGUUCUGUGCUUUUAAAAAUAACUCGGCGUGAGCCACAAUUGGGAGCAUUCACAGAAGAAAUUCUUCAGCCAUUUAAAACAAAGUGAAGGGAGGGGAAAAAAAAAAAAAAGCUCAAAGUGCUUUUACUUAUCCAUGAAGAGUGAGUGGUGAAGAGUGAGUGUGUCCCAGCCGUGUCUCCACUGCCUGGAUGGAGCACAGAGGUUCUGCUCCUGCCCCUGUUUGCUUCCAGCCCCCCAGGAUUUGGGGUUCGGUGCUGUCCCAGCUGGGCACGCUGGAUGAAUCCUCCUGGGAUGUUGGAUUUCCUGUGGAUCAGCACCUCGGCACAGGCUCCAGACAGAUGAGUAGAGAGCUGGCUGCAGAAGAGGGACAGAUUCCAGCUUGCCAGCUGCUCACCGUGUGCAGUGAGUACCUUCAUAUUUCAGGAAUAAAACUUUCUGUGGUGCCUGAUGUCAGCCUCAAACUGCCUCCAUUGGGGCACAGCAUUAAGUCUGCAUGCUUGGACAGUGUUCUCCUAAAAGUACAAGCUUCCUUGGCUUAACUCUUGUUUUGGGAGAAGCUGUGCUCCAGUUUUACCUAAAGUGGUAAAUUGUGUCCUCAUCCCACUUGCAGUAGUGGCAGAGCAGAGAACGGCUGCAGUUCUGCUCAGGGCUGUGGGGAAUCAGCUCUAAAGGUGUCACCUGAGGCUUCCUGUGUGGAUCAGGAGUGGAAAUGCUCCCCAGAGCUCUUCCAGCCUUGUUGGAGGUGCUGGAGCUGAGUGAGGAGGGUGCAUGAGGUUCCUGCCACGGCACAUGCCGGCGUUGCUCAUGAAUGAGUGCUGUGAAAUCAGCCCAAAUGAGGCUUGGCUGGACUGGUGGGUGGAAAACAGCAGGAAUAAACCACUGGAAAGCAUUGGCCA